rnacentral:rRNA from 1 species
GAGGAAUAUUGGUCAAUGGGCGGAAGCCUGAACCAGCCAUGCCGCGUGAAGGACGAAGGCGUUCUGCGUUGUAAACUUCUUUUAUAAGGGAAGAAACCUACGAUUUCUAUUGUAGCCGACGGUACCUUAUGAAUAAGCACCGGCUAACUCCGUGCCAGCAGCCGCGGUAAUACGGAGGGUGCAAGCGUUAUCCGGAUUUACUGGGUUUAAAGGGUGUGUAGGCGGGCUUGUAAGUCAGGGGUGAAAUCCUACAGCUUAACUGUAGAACUGCCUUUGAUACUAUAAGUCUUGAAUAUUGUUGAGGUAGGCGGAAUACAUCAUGUAGCGGUGAAAUGCUUAGAUAUGAUGUAGAACACCGAUUGCGAAGGCAGCUUACUAAGCAAAUAUUGACGCUGAGGCACGAAAGCGUGGGGAUCAAAC